AUGAUCUGUAAGCCAUUUACAUGGCUGCCCCAAGCCAUUUCACCAUCUUGUAGUCUGGGGGCAAUAAAUAACAUCUUUGCAAAUGAGAGAGAGGAAGAUGUACUCCAGUGUGGUAUCCAGAGAGAGCUGCACUACAUCAAUGGGGACAUCAGCCAUGGAGAAGAUGGACUGGCUAGAAGAAGGCAAAAAGGACUGAGGACCACACAAUCCUAUUGUCAAGCUGAAAACAGAAGACCUCCACAGUUCCCCCGACCCUGGGGUGGCAGAAAGCCCUCCCACGCUGCCUCCCAAGCCCAGGGCAGGACCAGCAGGCUCCAUCUGCCCGCUCCCAUUCCAAGGGCCUGACUCCUCCGGCAUUUCUUCACACCUCCCACGCUACAGGCAACCUGGGCCUUUCCAUGCAGUCCUCAGCUGCUCCCAGGAGAAAGGCAAGGCUCUGCUUCACCCUCCAAAAUGCAUACUCCUGAGGCUUGGCGAGCAGCUGGGCUAUGGAGCUCCAGGUAACACAGCCCAGCUGAAUGCCCGUGGCUGUGCAGGGUAGGCAGAGCACGUGGAGCCCUGCCGAGCUCAUCUAACGGAAAAGCUUUUGCCUUACUGUCUCCUCUGACCAUCAGAAGAUCCAAAAAAAAAAAAAAAAAAAAAAAAAAAGCCUCCAAGACCAGCAGAGAGCACCAACUUGGAGCACAACCCUGUGAAAUGGAGGUGAGGCCUCAGCCCAGGAACCUGCCUCAGUGUUUCUCCAGCUCCCUGAAGAAGCUGCUUUCAGUCCUGCCACUAUACCACACGUUAUCUGGCCUAUGUGGCCGGUGCCCCUGUGUCUUCACUGCUCUCUUGACCACUGCUAGAUGAUAGAAGCUGGCCGGUGUGACCUUGGUAUGAUGCUGUGCAGUUGGGUGGUUGCUCCCCUAGGGGCCAAGGCAGCCCCUUGCUGGGGAAGGCUCCAGCUGCCUCACCUGAGCAGGGGAUCAGGGCAAAGGGCUUCUUUGCACUCGAAUGCACAGAGGUUUGUGCACUGAGCAUCUCUGCAAACCUUCAGCAUGAAAGCCAGCAUAAUGAGCUUUGCAUGGGUAUCGCCAGCAGUGGCUGUCUGGGAAAAAUCAGCUAUUUCCCGUCAGAAGGCCAAAGGCAGCCAUCGCUGUCCUGCUUGUUAUCAAGCUCCGUCCAUGAAAAGAGACUAGAGUAUUUGUGUGUUCCUAAUGGUUCUAAUUUUGAUUAAGUAAAAUAGAAUUGAUCUUCCUCCUCUUUCUCUCAGGCCCACAGGAAGCUGAGCUCAGUGCAGGAGCAGUUUUUGCUUCUUUACUUAUGAGUAAUGCAAGUUUGAACUCAGUUCUCAAAAUACGUGUCUCACCAGCUCGGAGCUGCUUCACUGUAGUUAUUCUUAGCCCCCAAGUCACCGUGAUAAGAAGCUAAAUUAAACUGAUUUCCAACCAAAAACAUAUUGAAAUGAAAAUAUUUAUCAUAACUGCUUCUGGAAAUGAGAAAGUGUUCUUCAUUUUCAGGGCAAACAACAUGAUGUUUCUAUAAGAAACCACUUCAAGGCUGAUGCAUUACUGGUCUGGACCUUCUGGAGUGAAAGAUGAAUGCAAGGUACCCUGCAAGGGACCCUUCCUCCAUUCUCCCAUCUGGGAGAAUAUUUUCAUGUUCGAUGGAGAAUUCACAGCCCAAGUAGGGCAGAUGCAACAUGCACAUGGGAUCCCAGAGGGCUAUCACAGCACAAGACUCCCCAUGAGCAUGCUGUAUAUUCAGGGAGGGAAUGGAAAGAAGUCAAAUGAUAAAUCUCAUGCCCUGCAUGUGAGAUGUGACAAAUCUGCUGUUCUGAUUUGAUAGUUUCUCACACAGAUGCAAACAGCAGUGUGAGUUCUGUGGGAAAGAAGGCCCUUUCCCAGCAGAGCUCUUGGUGCAGUUUGGAGAUGUGAGCUGUGUGUUCCCCUUUCAUUUUCAGCUCCAUUCAUGGUGCUGGAAAACAUUGCUCAGCACCUACACAUCUCCCCAGAUUUUCUCUUACAAAUCUGUCAGAUAAUGCCAUGCCAAAGCUUUUGGGUUUGUCUUUUAAAGACCGUUUUUCCAAAGCUCUUUGCAAAUAUUUUAAUAAAUAAACAAAGCCUAAA
rnacentral:lncRNA from 1 species